rnacentral:rRNA from 1 species
AGUGAACGCUGGCGGCGUGCUUAACACAUGCAAGUCGAACGAGAACGGGAUAUAGCUUGCUAUAUUUGUCAGCUAAGUGGCGCACGGGUGAGUAAUGUAUAGAUAACCUGCCCUCUAGAAAGGAGUAACAGUUGGAAACGACUGCUAAUGCCCUAUAUGCCUUUAAUACAUAAGUAUGCAAGGGAAACGCUUUAGUGCUAGAGGAUGGGUCUGUAUGGUAUCAGCUUGUUGGUGAGGUAAUGGCUCACCAAGGCUAUGACGCCUAACUGGUUUGAGGGGAUGAUCAGUCACACUGGAACUGAGACACGGUCCAGACUCCUACGGGAGGCAGCAGUGGGGAAUAUUGCACAAUGGGCGAAAGUCUGAUGCAGCAACGCCGCGUGGAGGAUGACACAUUUCGGUGCGUAAACUCCUUUUAUAUAGGAAGAUAAUGACGGUACUAUAUGAAUAAGCACCGGCUAACUCCGUGCCAGCCGCCGCCGUAA